rnacentral:ncRNA from 1 species
AUGAUAUUUUCGGGAGAGAAUCUAUUAAAUUAGGUAGCCGAAGAAGCAAGUAUUUAUUUUGCCAAAUAAAUAUGAAACUCUCAGGCAAAAGGACCGAAAAUGGACA